GCUAUUUCUCACCAUCAAAACACUCCACAAGUCCUGCGAAUGACUAAUCACUUUCCUAUAAACCACUGACUCAGAUACUGAAGCAGUUAAAUGAAGCUUCAGACGUCAUUGAUCAUGUGACUCUGGCCAAAAGAAUCAAGUCUCGACAGAGUGCUUCUGAAGCAGUGUGUUGGUUUCUUUUGACACACCUGCCAGAGUGUUGGCUUCAAGCGGGCCAUCACUGCUGUGAACUGUAGCGCCCAGGCUGAUAAACCAGAGAUUAGGCAACAAAGGGACCUUUGUUUUGUUUUCUGGAGCAAUUAUGAGUUAAUUACACCCACACAGGCUCAACCAAUCUUCUGGAAUGAUGAUUGCAGUCUUGAAGCUGAUCAUCGUGCACACCCACAUGGAUUCAUCUUCUUUGAUCCACUGAAUCAAAGUGGAGGCUCUGCUCUUUAUGAUGAGUCACGGUAUCUGACCUACUAUAACUACUUUGGCUCUUUUCAUUACCCACAAGGUCAUUUAACUCAGGGUGAACAUACUCAGAGCUCACAGAGCUAACUCUGAUCAGAGGGGCGUACAUCGAUUUUGGUGAUGUAGAAAAUGCACUAAUGUUUUUAUUAGUGCUGUCAGCGUUAAUCAACGCGCUAACGUGUUGACGCCGGUCAGCCCCAUGAAUGGGACGAUCCGCGGUAACUUGUUAACAGAGAUUUGCCACAUUAAUGCAGUUAUGGCGUUAACGUCAUUAACAAGAUUAAUGCUGUUUUUAUGCUUGCCUCUAACACCACUAAGUCUGUUUUACACAGAUGGAUUCAUUGGGAACUGAAUAGAUAAGAAAAUUGAUCAUGGUCAAUUUCCUGUGGGUAUACAGUGACUAACCAAUUUUAAAUACAUCAAGUUUAUUAUUUCAGAACUCUAAUGUUGCUGUAAUGUUAGAAAUAAACAGCACCACCGAUCUUGAGUACCGAUUCCUCUGAUCAUGUAUCUGGUCCUUUUUUUUUCAUCCUGUCUGUCAGCUUUUGCAUGGGAAAGGUGGAGAAAAUAUAAUAAAAUACAAAUAGAAAUGCACAAUGUAUUGACAACUGCUGCACCUGUAAGAAAAACAAAGAAACAUACUCAGAUUGUGUAAAACCUGCCUUCUGGACAAGGCCCAGAAGAAUUCUAAGUUCCACUGUAAGCUUGUCUUACUGUCUGUUAAUGUUCCACAAGAGCAGGUUCAAAGUUCAGUGGCAUGUGGUUAUUGUAUGACCUUAAAUAAUAAAAACUGUGGAGAACUGAAUGUGGAGAUUAGAUUGAAUCUGCAGACCAGCAAGCUCCUGUUUAGCCUUGCUUUUAGUUGCUUUACAUUAGAAGUGGUUGAUUAAGAUUAAUUUCACACAGAUUAUUUCUUCCAUCA
ensembl:lncRNA